AACGAACGCUGGCGGCAUGCCUAACACAUGCAAGUCGAACGAAGGCUUCGGCCUUAGUGGCGCACGGGUGCGUAACGCGUGGGAAUCUGCCCUUGUGUUCGGAAUAACAGCGGGAAACUGCUGCUAAUACCGGAUGAUGACGUAAGUCCAAAGAUUUAUCGCCCAAGGAUGAGCCCGCGUAGGAUUAGCUAGUUGGUGCGGUAAAGGCCCACCAAGGCGACGAUCCUUAGCUGGUCUGAGAGGAUGAUCAGCCACACUGGGACUGAGACACGGCCCAGACUCCUACGGGAGGCAGCAGUGGGGAAUAUUGGACACUGGGCGAAAGCCUGAUCCAGCAAUGCCGCGUGAGUGAUGAAGGCCUUAGGGUUGUAAAGCUCUUUUACCCGGGAUGAUAAUGACAGUACCGGGAGAAUAAGCUCCGGCUAACUCCGUG
rnacentral:rRNA from 1 species